CCUACGGGGGGCAGCAGUGGGGAAUAUUGCACAAUGGGGGAAACCCUGAUGCAGCGACGCCGCGUGAGUGAAGAAGUAUUUCGGUAUGUAAAGCUCUAUCAGCAGGGAAGAAGAAAGACGGUACCUGACUAAGAAGCCCCGGCUAACUACGUGCCAGCAGCCGCGGUAAUACGUAGGGGGCAAGCGUUAUCCGGAUUUACUGGGUGUAAAAGGAGCGUAGACGGCUGUGCAAGUCUGAAGGGAAAGCCCGGGGCUCAACCCUGGGACUGCUUUGGAAACUGUGGAGCUAGAGUGCUGGAGAUGUAAGUGGAAUUCCUAGUGUAGCGGUGAAAUGCGUAGAUAUUAGGAGGAACACCAGUGGCGAAGGCGGCUUACUGGACAGUAACUGACGUUGAGGCUCGAAAGCGUGGGGAGCAAACAGGAUUAGAUACCCGGGUAGUC
rnacentral:rRNA from 1 species